rnacentral:tRNA from 2 species
UGGGAUAGCUCAGUUGGUA